AACGAACGCUGGCGGCAUGCCUAACACAUGCAAGUCGAACGAGACCUUCGGGUCUAGUGGCGCACGGGUGCGUAACGCGUGGGAACCUGCCCUUAGGUUUGGAAUAACUCCCCGAAAGGGGUGCUAAUACCGGAUAAUGUCUUCGAACCCAAGGUUUAUCGCCUUUGGGUGGGCCCGCGUUGGAUUAACUUGUUGGGAGGGUAAAAUCCUACCAAGGCGACGAUCCGUAGCUGGUCUGCGAGGAUGGUCAGCCACACUGGGGCUGAGCCACGGCCCAGACUCCUGCGCGAGGCAGCAGUGGGGAAUAUAGGACAAUGGGCUAAAUCCUGAUCCACCACGGCCGCGUGAGUGAUGAAGGCCUUAGGGUUGUAAAGCUCUUUUACCCGGGAUGAUAAUGACGGUACCGGGAGAAUAAGCUCCGGCUAACUCCGUG
rnacentral:rRNA from 1 species